GAUGAACGCUGGCGGCGUGCCUAAUACAUGCAAGUCGAGCGAACAGACCAGGAGCUUGCUCCUCUGACGUUAGCGGCGGACGUGUGAGUAACACGUGGGUAACCUAGCUAUAAGACUGGGAUAACUUCGGGUACCCGUAGCUAAUACCCGAUAAUAUAUUGAACCGCAUGGUUCAGUAGUGAAAGACGGUUUUGCUUUCCCUUAUAGUUGGAUCCUCGCCUCAUUAGCUAAUUGGUAAGGUAACGUCUUACCAAGGCAACGAUGCAUAGCCGACCUGGGAGAGUGAUCGGAGACACUCGAACUGAGAGAUGGUCCAGACUCCGACGGGGAGAAGCAGUAGGGAACCAUGCGAAAUGGGAGAAAGCAAGACGGAGCAACGCCGCAUGAGCGAUGAAGGUAAUCGGAUCGUAAAACUCUGUUAUUAGGGAAGAACAAAUGUGUAAGUAACUAUGCAAGCAUUGACGGUACCUAAUCAGAAAGCAACGGCUAACUACGUG
rnacentral:rRNA from 1 species